GAUGGGCAUGGUGGCACAUGCCUGUAAUCCCAGCUGCUUGGGAGGCUGAAAUGGGAGGAUCAUGAGUUCAAAGCCAGCCUCAGCAAUUGCAAGGCACUAAGCAAUUCCGUGAGACCUUGUCUCUA
rnacentral:sRNA from 1 species